CCUACGGGUGGCUGCAGUGGGGAAUAUUGCACAAUGGGGGAAACCCUGAUGCAGCGACGCCGCGUGAGUGAAGAAGGAUUUCGGUGUGUAAAGCUCUAUCAGCAGGGAAGAAAAUGACGGUCCCUGAUGACGAAGCCCCGGCUAACUACGUGCCAGCAGCCGAGGUAAUACGUAGGGGGCAAGCGUUAUCCGGAUUUACUAGGGGUAAAGGGAGCGUAGACGGCAGCACAAGUCUGGAGUGAAAUGCCGGGGCUUAACCCCGGAACUGCUUUGGAAACUGUGCAGCUAGAGUGCAGGAGAGGUAAGUGGAAUUCAUGGUGUAGCGGUGAAAUGCGUAGAUAUCAGGAGGAACACCAGUGGCGAAGGCAGCUUACUGGACUGUAACUGACGUUGAGGCUCGAAAGCGUGGGGAGCAAACAGGAUUAGAUACCCGUGUAGUC
rnacentral:rRNA from 1 species